GAAACACAUCAGAUCCUUCUCUGUGCGAUUUCUCCAUGAGUUGCCUGGCACUGCGGACUGCUCUUUCCGCGAGUCCGUUUGACUGGGGAAACUCCGGGCUGCUUGUGUGAUUGGGGGAUGACCGCUUUAUGGCCUUUCAUGACGAUGCCAUCUUCCACUAUCAGCUCAUCUCUGUAUGGAAAGAAAUGGCUGAUGGCAGGCUGGAGUUGGCUUUCUCUGGUGGGCCAUCCGCGUUGAAUGAUUGUGUAUGGAAGGGGAGAAUUGGAGGUACCUGGUCAGGUCUUGGUCAGCCUUCAAAUCCCAGAUGUGGAGACUGCAGGGAUACCUCACAGAGAAGACACUAAAGAGUCAUCUCUCAUUCAUCGAGUGGACUCAUUGGUUUGCGAAUGACCACAAAGAUGCUCCCAUAGGCAGAUUGCUGCAUGGUAUUCAACACUUAUUCAAAUUGUAGAGGUUGAAGCAGUCUUCCUUGUGGUCACUUGCCAUAACACUGUCAUGUGAUUUAUCAAAACACCAUCAGUAACAUUUUAAUUGAGUUGAUGUGGACGGCUCUUUUUUUUUGUCUGAUUUUUUUUCAGUGUUCAGUGCCUGUUUGUGAGAUAUGCAUUGUUUGAAAGAUAAGCCUUUGAUUUUGUUUAAUUUUAAUAUGCCUUUCAUCAUCAGUGGUUUGGGGUUUUAUAACAACAAUUAAAGUGCUUAACUACUGGUGAACGAUGUUGCAGAACAUAUAUGGUCUGUGUUCAUUGCAUGGAAAAGGGAAUAACCCGUUACAACUUAUAUGGUAAGAACCUGGUAAUACCAUGGAAACAAACAAGGCUUCCUUUUACAGUACAGUUUCAGCUUAAUUACUGGGUAAAUCGUCGUGUUUUACAUGGGAACGUCGCAGAACGUACAUGGGACAAGUUUGUGUUGACUGCAUGGAAAAGGGAAUAAUGUAUUACAAAUUAUAUGGUAAGAACCUGGUAAUACCAUGGAAACAAACAAGGCUUCCUUUUACAGUACUGUUUCAGCUUAAUUACUUGGUAAAUUGUCGUGUUCUACUUGGUAACGUCGCAGAACGUACAUGGUACAAGUUUGUGUUGACUGCAUGGAAAAGGGAAUAAUGUAUCGCAAAUUAUAUGGCAAGAACCUGGUAAUACCAUGGAAAUAAACA
ensembl:lncRNA